AUGCAUAAAGGAAAACUGCAGCACUGUGUUAUUGUUUUUGUACGGCGGCUCAAUGACUUUGUAUCACUGUGGUACACGUUCGGUGGAGGAACCAGACUGAAUGUUGGAAGUGAUGUCCGUCCCACACUGACGGUGCUGCCCCCCUCCAGUGAGGAGCUGCUGGAGGGGAAGGCCACGCUCAUGUGCCUGGCCAACAAGGGCUUCCCCUCAGACUGGAGUCUGGCCUGGAAGGUGGACGGCAGCAGCAGCAGCAGCAGCUGGGAGGAGAGCAGGAGCCCCGGGGUGCUGGGGAAGGACGGCAAAUACAGCUGGAGCAGCACCCUGAGGCUCCCUAAAGACCAGUGGGAGAAGGUGGGCUCUGUGACCUGUGAGGCCACCCAGGGCUCCCAGACUCCGCUCUCAGAGACACUGAGGAGAGACCAGUGUUCCCAGUCCUGACCUGACUCACUGGGACUCUGCUACUGGUUUCACUCUGAUACUGAUCUCAGUCUGCUCUCUGCUACUCUCUCUCUCUCUCUCUCUCUCUCUCUCUCUCUCUCUCUCUGUUUAUCUCUUUCCCCCACUCACUGUCUGAUUACAUGUUUCAUUGAUAAAGUGUGUUGCAUGUUUUAAUUUUGAUUAUUUUAACACAAUAAAGUACUUUUCAUCAAAU